AACGCACGAGACCUGCGGACCUGCGGAGGGAUCAUUAUUGAAUAAACUUGAUGUAGUUGAGCUGACUCUCUCGGGAGUAUGUGCUCGCUCGUCACCUUUAUCUUUCCACCUGUGCACUUUUUGUAGAUUUGGAUAUAACUGUCCGAGGCAACUCGGUUGGGAGGAAUGCUGUCUCUGAUGGCUUUCCUUGUAUGUCCAAGUCUAUGUUUUCAUAUACUCCAAGUAUGUAACAGAAUGUAU
rnacentral:misc_RNA from 1 species